GUUCUUAGGAACGCCGGCCUCUGUGGUUCGGAUUUUUAUAGGAAACUUACCUUUGCCCACAUCAAAGAUGGCGACAACGUGCAUGCAACGUCCGGUCAUAGACACGCACACACAUUUUGAGAUCAGUGGUCAGAGACAGCCAAUUACAGCCUAAGGAAGGUUAUUUAAACUCAAAUUCCUCAAACCAAUUGUGCGGCUGAGAGAGCCAACCAAUCAUUGGAACCAUAUUUGAGAUGUUUUAUUAAUGGCACUCAGGAAAACUGAUCUGAUUUGCUACCAUGGGCCGAAUUCGAC